ACCGGAGCUUGCUCCACCGGGAAAAGAGGAGUGGCGAACGGGUGAGUAACACGUGGGUAACCUGCCCAUCAGAAGGGGAUAACACUUGGAAACAGGUGCUAAUACCGUAUAACAAUCGAAACCGCAUGGUUUCGUUUUGAAAGGCGCUUUACGGUGCCGCUGAUGGAUGGACCCGCGGUGCAUUAGCUAGUUGGUGAGGUAACGGCUCACCAAGGCCACGAUGCAUAGCCGACCUGAGAGGGUGAUCGGCCACAUUGGGACUGAGACACGGCCCAAACUCCUACGGGAGGCAGCAGUAGGGAAUCUUCGGCAAUGGACGAAAGUCUGACCGAGCAACGCCGCGUGAGUGAAGAAGGUUUUCGGAUCGUAAAACUCUGUUGUUAGAGAAGAACAAGGGUGAGAGUAACUGUUCACCCCUUGACGGUAUCUAACCAGAAAGCCACGGCUAACUACGUGCCAGCAGCCGCGGUAAUACGUAGGUGGCAAGCGUUGUCCGGAUUUAUUGGGCGUAAAGCGAGCGCAGGCGGUUUCUUAAGUCUGAUGUGAAAGCCCCCGGCUCAACCGGGGAGGGUCAUUGGAAACUGGGAGACUUGAGUGCAGAAGAGGAGAGUGGAAUUCCAUGUGUAGCGGUGAAAUGCGUAGAUAUAUGGAGGAACACCAGUGGCGAAGGCGGCUCUCUGGUCUGUAACUGACGCUGAGGCUCGAAAGCGUGGGGAGCANACAGGAUUAGAUACCCUGGUAGUCCACGCCGUAAACGAUGAGUGCUAAGUGUUGGAGGGUUUCCGCCCUUCAGUGCUGCAGCUAACGCAUUAAGCACUCCGCCUGGCGAGUACGACCGCAAGGUUGAAACUCAAAGGAAUUGACGGNGGCCCGCACAAGCG
rnacentral:rRNA from 1 species